AGGGCCCAUUGCAUGGUCCUUUCUACUGAUCAUAAUACCAUUGUUGAGGGAUAUUACAAUAGAAAAAUACUGUGCAAUUUUCCAAACUCAGAUUGGUUUCUCAUACAUUAUCUCUGUAUAGUAUGAGUUUUCACUCCCUGUGCUAAACGGCUCGAUGGAGUUCCUGCCCCCACCCUCCUGUGCGUCCAGUGUGCUCCGAUUGGUCAGCUCUGCCACUCUGUUCUGAUUAGUCAACCACCAGAGAGGCUCUGCCCCUGUUGACAUCUGCCGUAAAGUAGUUUAGCGGGUACUUAGCAACAGCAAUACUAGAUUUGAGAAUCGAUAGAUAGAGUUAUAUAGAUACAUAGAUAGCUUACAUAUAGCAUACAAUGGCGUAUGGAGCAUACAAUUUCGAACCUCCGUUCGAUCCUAGAAUAGACCAAAUCGCGAGUCUUGCCUCGCCGUUCACUAGAGCAGACCAAACAGUGUCAUUGUGGUUGUAACACGCAUGCUGCAAGUUCCAGAACCCAUUAACUGCAUGGUUGACCAGAGCCUAACUGCUUGAACCCAUACACCCUGCAGAAUCUCCACAAUAUUUAUAAAUACAGUUUCGGACCUUUGACAAAUACAACGGAAGAAAAGUAAGUUAUUGUUACCUGUAAUAAACUACUACCGUUUGAUGAAAAAUCAAAUCAUGGUUUGCUAUAUAUGAAUGAUAUGUUAUUGGAGCAAAUAAUUCAGGAAAGAAAGGCUACUAAGUAUUUCCAUCAAACUUUAUUUUUACAAAUGUACAAAAUGUGUGAAUGUAUAUUUAUACACUGUACAUCAUCCAUUCCUAUCCUGAUAGGCAUUUUCGAUAUCUUGCGUAUCGCAGCUUUGUAAGCUGGUGCUGGGGAUAUUUAGGGCGAGCCAUCAGAGUGGUGAUUCCGUCGUGUGUUGUGCUCCGGAUCCGCCAGGAGUUUCCAGAUCUGGCUGGACAAUAUGUAGGAUUUCGACCUCCUUUGGGGGAAAACGGGAGAAACGGCUGACAAUCAUUUCCUCCUUGGGGGGCCUGUCAAAUUGAGUUGACAGGUCCUCUGGGAGGUGGAUUCGUUUCAGCUCGUCCACAAAGGGUGUAGGGUCCAGAAAGACUUUGUGAAACACAAGCCUCGGCAGCUCAUCCACUGUUACAUACUCCCCCCCUUUUGUCGUCCUCUUUGUUCUCUCUGUUGUGCAGGUACACCUGGCUCCGCCUUCCCCAGGUGUUCCCAGUUGUCACUCAGCCGAGCUUGGCUGGCCAGGUGUUGCCAAUCAGCCGAGCAUAAAAGAGGAGGCUGAAGGAGAAGGAGGAAGCCGAUCACUACUCCGGAUGUCUGCUGUGUCAGAGCUCUUUUGCCUUUUUGUUGUGUUUCCUGGAGGACGUGUUAGUAUUAGGUUUUCACGGCUUUAUUUCUCCCGUUAGGUUCUGUUGGAUUUUGGGUAGCGGAGGAAGGCUCUGGAUCCUACGGCCCGUGGUGUGGUUGGCCCAAGUCCCCUCCGUCUGUUUGUUUGUUUUACCUGUCCUCCAGUGGAAUGAUUUAGUAUUGUGGCAAUAAAUGUAUGAUCACAGUUUAGUGCCUACGUGUUGUGUACUUUUGUUUUAUGUUGCGGACUGCCUCACGAGCCACUACUAUUGAGUAGGGAGGCGGGUCCUAACAUCCACAUAGACUGAAAAAAAGCAUUGUAUAAAUAAUUUGUUAUUGUUAUUCACUUUUUGUAUUUAAUGUAAUACUUUUAUUGUUCAUUGUAUCUUUAAUCAUUUGAAAUGUAAGUUCUGUUAAUAAUAAUAAAAACAAAUAUUUCACAAC